AGUGAACGCUGGCGGUAGGCCUAACACAUGCAAGUCGAACGGCAGCACAGUAAGAGCUUGCUCUUACGGGUGGCGAGUGGCGGACGGGUGAGGAAUACAUCGGAAUCUACUUUUUCGUGGGGGAUAAUGUAGGGAAACUUACGCUAAUACCGCAUACGACCUACGGGUGAAAGCAGGGGAUCUUCGGACCUUGCGCGAUUGAAUGAGCCGAUGUCGGAUUAGCUAGUUGGCGGGGUAAAGGCCCACCAAGGCGACGAUCCGUAGCUGGUCUGAGAGGAUGAUCAGCCACACUGGAACUGAGACACGGUCCAGACUCCUACGGGAGGCGGCAGUGGGGAAUAUUGGACAAUGGGCGCAAGCCUGAUCCAGCCAUACCGCGUGGGUGAAGAAGGCCUUCGGGUUGUAAAGCCCUUUUGUUGGGAAAGAAAAGCAGCAGGUUAAUACCACGCUGUUCUGACGGUACCCAAAGAAUAAGCACCGGCUAACUUCGUG
rnacentral:rRNA from 1 species